UUAUGCUAUAUAAAUUAGAGCUCAUAAACAAGCCCAAAGAAUUAAACCCAGGCAAUCAAGGACAUUAAAUUCAAUGCCUUUUGUUCUCUCACAGAGAGCACUACUGACUGUGGACAGCUGAAGAAUUAUAUUCUUUGCUGUUGAGAACAUUGCUUAAAGGCAUCAAAGCCGUCGAUGAAACACAAAUGUAAAAUGUGGAGUUUAAUUGCAUUUGACCCAUUAAUUUGAAGUCCAGCUGAAUGGAAGAAGCUUGCAAUCCAUGGAAUUGAAGAGGAGCUGUUUAAUAAAAGUUAGAAAGGACCAUGCAGCCACCUCAAGAUAAGACAAUGCAGGAGGGUUCUUCAGUGACAUCUGGAUGCAGUGAUCGUAAAUACUUGGCUUAGAACCUCACAACCUUUUACAGUCAUUUACCCAAGACAGAGAUCCCACUUUGAAACAAUAGAACCUACCCAAUCUUCUUUGCUUCCCCCGAUCUGAGCUGGCCUGCAUUACCUCUGCUGCAAAAUGCUUCCCACUGACGGUGUGCUCAGAGCCUUCGGACUUGUUUCGGUUUCCCCAGUGCAAGUGAAGCUGAGAUGCAGUGUAUUCAAAUGGGAGGUUUCUGAUGGACAUAGCAGGUGACAGAUACAUUUUCACUGUAAGCAGAUCAAAACCAGACAGGAACAAAUGAUACCACAGCUCUCAGGAACAGGACAAAUAAAAAUACCAAGUCUAAGUAUAUAAUAUAUGGAUCAUGAAAAAAGCAGAUUCUUGACUCAAAUCCAUCUCAGUCCAUAGUAGGAGAUAAACACUUCUGUUCUCUUUAAGCCUUUUUUGGUAGAUCAGGAUUUAGAACAUACCCAUUUCUAUUUUCCUAAAUACAUGAAUUUUAUGUGACAAUUGUUGCUAGUGGAAGUCUUUGAAGAAUGUGAAUUUAUCUCAGACAUUGAAGAGACAAUCAUUGUCAAAGCAAAAUUUAAGCUCAUGUAUGUUCUUUCAAUCCCCUUAAUAAUGGUUGAAAAUGGCUUCAUAAAUUACUAUUUCUCAUGGUAAUCUAUAUCCCAUGUUAUAUUGAACUCUGCCGCCUCUUAAUCUUCUUUUAGGGACACAGGAUAAAACCAAAUAAACUCCUCCCUUUCCUUGCUGCUCCCAAAAUCCAGAACACUCAUGUUGAGCAGCAAGAUAACCCUAGGUCUUAAGAACAAGCAUCUCCUCUCUUGACCUGCUGGAAGGUGACAUUUUAUGCAUGAACCUCCCUUCUCCUCAUUAAGGCUUUUGGGUGGGGAAGGCAGGCUGGCUUGUUGGGGGUUUUUUGUGUAAAAAUUAUAGUAGUAAUUCUCAACCUAGCAGAAACUUCUCAGUUGUUCACUUGGAGCAUUUGGUACUUCCUAAAGCAACGGCUUAUGUCGAGAACACAUUGAUUGUUUUGCAAUUUAUCUGUAUUAUUUUCCAGACUGAAUACAGUUUGGUUUUGGACUGCCCUGGACAUGUUUUUCAGGGGAAACAAGGCUCAAAACUGUAGUGAAGUAACAGCUGUGACCCUCUGUAUUUUUAGACUCCUACUGAAAGGGGUUUUUUUUUUGAACUCUACUAUUUUCAGUGUAGCUGAUGUAGGUGAUUGUGUCUGGAUGAGCUGGCUGGUGGAGAACAUCAAACAUCAUGUAGGAAUGACUUGACAGCACAAUACUAAGCAUCCUACUGGUUUAAUCUAGCUGAAAGAGAAGUUAGCAGCAGAUGGUAUAAUGAUCAGUCCAACAGAGGCUAAUUUUUUUGUUACUCAGAGGUAAUUAAUUUUUAUCUAAGUGUGGUUUCUAGAGUAGGAUGCAUCUCUACUGCUUUCUAGGAAGGCACUCACCUUGGAAAUUAAUUCCCUUUUUCUUGAAGGUGUUAUACUUUUGU